AUGCUCCCUUCGGCAGCACAUACACUAAAGCUGGAACGGUACAGAGAAGAUUAGCAUGGCCCCUGUGCAAGGAUGACAUGCAAAUUCAUGAAGCCUAUUCCAUAUUU
rnacentral:snRNA from 1 species